rnacentral:rRNA from 1 species
UGCGUAGAUAUAUGGAGGAACACCAGUGGCGAAGGCGACUUUCUGGUCUGUAACUGACGCUGAGGCGCGAAAGCGUGGGGAGCGAACAGGAUUAGAUACCCUGGUAGUCCACGCCGUAAACGAUGAGUGCUAGGUGUUAGGGGUUUCGAUACCCUUAGUGCCGCAGCUAACGCAUUAAGCACUCCGCCUGGGGAGCACGACCGCAAGGUUGAAACUCAAAGGAAUUGACGGGGGCCCGCACAAGCAGUGGAGCAUGUGGUUUAAUUCGAAGCAACGCGAAGAACCUUACCAGGGCUUGACAUCCCAUUGCCCGGUAUAGAGAUAUACCUUUUCUUUUGAACAAUGGAGACAGGUGGUGCAUGGUUGUCGUCAGCUCGUGUCGUGAGAUGUUGGGUUAAGUCCCGCAACGAGCGCGACCCUUGACCUUAGUUGCCUGCAUUAAGUUGGGCACUCUAGGGUGACUGCCGGUGAUAAACCGGAGGAAGGUGGGGAUGACGUCAAAUCAUCAUGCCCCUUAUGUCCUGGGCUACACACGUGCUACAAUGGUUGGUACAAAGGGUAGCGAAGCCGUGAGGCCAAGCCAAUCCCAUAAAGCCAAUCUCAGUUCGGAUUGCAGGCUGCAACUCGCCUGCAUGAAGUCGGAAUUGCUAGUAAUCGCGGAUCAGCAUGCCGCGGUGAAUACGUUCCCGGGCCUUGUACACACCGCCC